rnacentral:sRNA from 1 species
GCCAGGUAUGGUGGUGCACACCUGUAAUCCCAGAGUUUCCUGAGGCUGAGGCAGGAGGAUUGCAUGUUCAAAGCCAGCCUCAGCAAAAGCAAGGUGCUAAGCAACUCAGUGAGACCCUGUCUCUA